AUGUACACGCAUCUAAUAAAAAAACUUUUCUUAUUCAUCUUUUUUCUAUCUUCCAAUUCAUCUCCACUAUACCCCUCGUCUUCUAAUUCCUUUUGUUGAACCAAGGAAGUCUCUAAAAUAAUUCGCAAAUCUAAAUCUGCUAAUUGUUCUCUAAUAGCACCUGGAGGUAGCUAG
rnacentral:rRNA from 1 species